CCUACGGGAGGCAGCAGUGAGGAAUAUUGGUCAAUGGACGAGAGUCUGAACCAGCCAAGUAGCGUGAAGGAUGACUGCCCUAUGGGUUGUAAACUUCUUUUAUAAAGGAAUAAAACGAGGCACGUGUGCCUUUUUGCAUGUACUUUAUGAAUAAGGAACGGCUAACUCCGUGCCAGCAGCCGCGGUAAGACGGAGGAUCCGAGCGUUACCCGGAUUUAUGGGGUUUAAAGGGAGCGUAGAUGGGUUGUUAAGUCAGUUGUGAAAGUUUGCGGCUCAACCGUAAAAUUGCAAUUGAUACUGGCAGUCUUGAGUACAGUUGAGGUAGGCGGAAUUCGUGGUGUAGCGGUGAAAUGCUUAGAUAUCACGAAGAACUCCGAUUGCGAAGGCAGCUUACUAAACUGCCACUGACAUUGAUGCUCGAAAGUGUGGGUAUCAAACAGGAUUAGAUACCCGAGUAGUC
rnacentral:rRNA from 1 species